GGUCCCAUAGCUCAGCAGGAUAGAGCACCAGAUUCCUAAUCUGGGGGUCAUAGGUUCAAAUCCUAUUGGGAUCACCA
rnacentral:tRNA from 1 species